rnacentral:rRNA from 1 species
AUUGAACGCUGGCGGCAGGCCUAACACAUGCAAGUCGAGCGGAUGAAGGGAGCUUGCUCCUGGAUUCAGCGGCGGACGGGUGAGUAAUGCCUAGGAAUCUGCCUGGUAGUGGGGGAUAACGUCCGGAAACGGGCGCUAAUACCGCAUACGUCCUGAGGGAGAAAGUGGGGGAUCCUCGGACCUCACGCUAUCAGAUGAGCCUAGGUCGGAUUAGCUAGUUGGUGGGGUAAAGGCCUACCAAGGCGACGAUCCGUAACUGGUCUGAGAGGAUGAUCAGUCACACUGGAACUGAGACACGGUCCAGACUCCUACGGGAGGCAGCAGUGGGGAAUAUUGGACAAUGGGCGAAAGCCUGAUCCAGCCAUGCCGCGUGUGUGAAGAAGGUCUUCGGAUUGUAAAGCACUUUAAGUUGGGAGGAAGGGCAGUAAGUUAAUACCUUGCUGUUUUGACGUUACCGACAGAAUAAGCACCGGCUAACUUCGUG